rnacentral:rRNA from 1 species
UACGUAGGGGGCAAGCGUUGUCCGGAUUCAUUGGGCGUAAAGAGCGUGUAGGCGGCCAGGUAGGUCCGUUGUGAAAACUGCAGGCUCAACCUGCAGAGGUCGAUGGAAACCACCUGGCUAGAGUCCGGAAGAGGAGAGUGGAAUUCCUGGUGUAGCGGUGAAAUGUGCAGAUAUCAGGAAGAACACCCGUGGCGAAGGCGGCUCUCUGGGACGGUACUGACGCUGAGACGCGAAAGCGUGGGGAGCGAACAGG